rnacentral:rRNA from 1 species
CCUGUUUUACAAAAACAUGUCUUUUUGAGUUAUUUUAAAAGUCUGACCUGCCCACUGAAAUUAUUUAAAUGGCCGCAGUAUUCUAACUGUGCAAAGGUAGCAUAAUCAUUAGUCUUUUAAUUGAAGGCUGGUAUGAACGGUUGGACGAGGUAUAAGCUGUUUCAUAUAAAUUUAUAAUAGAAUUUUAUAUUUUAGUCAAAAAGCUAAAAUUUAAUUAAAAGACGAGAAGACCCUAUAAAUCUUUAUACUUUAAGUUGUUUAAAUUUUUUAGAUUAAUUUUAUUUUUAUAAUUUAGAGUAUUUUGUUGGGGUGAUAUUAAAAUUUAAUGAACUUUUAGUUGUUAAAAAUCAUUAAUUUAUGAGUUAUUGAUCCAUUAAUAGUGAUUAUAAGAUUAAGUUACUUUAGGGAUAACAGCGUAAUUUUUUUGGAGAGUUCAUAUCGAUAAAAAAGUUUGCGACCUCGAUGUUGGAUUAAGAUAUAUUUUUAGGUGUAGCCGCUUAAAU